rnacentral:misc_RNA from 1 species
UGCGUCACAGAUCUUGGUGGAUAGGAAUCAUCAAAUGGAUUCUUUCAAACCCAUAAUAUUUUCUCAUAUCACUGGCGCAAGCAUUAGAACCUACCUCUCUUUUGGAGAGAUGGGAAAAAAAUUCUAAUGCAAAAACAAAGGGAAACAAAUAAAAAAAAAUUAGAACCAAGCCGCACUAAAAUCUCCAGUCCAGGGCCCGCAUACUUGCAGAGAAAAUAAAUUCAAAACAAUUAUACCCCCACACCAUCAUCAUCCCAAAUGCCAUAAACAGG